rnacentral:rRNA from 1 species
GACAAGAAAUAACAAUACAGGACUUAUUAGUCUUGUAAUUGGAAUGAGUGUAACUUAAAUCCCUUUACGAGUAUCAAUUGGAGGGCAAGUCUGGUGCCAGCAGCCGCGGUAAUUCCAGCUCCAAUAGCGUAUAUUAAAGUUGUUGCGGUUAAAAAGCUCGUAGUUGGAUUUCUG